rnacentral:rRNA from 1 species
CCUACGGGAGACAGCAGUGAGGAAUAUUGGUCAAUGGACGGAAGUCUGAACCAGCCAUGCCGCGUGCAGGAAGACGGCCCUAUGAGUUGUAAACUGCUUUUGUACAAGGGUAAACCUGAAUACGUGUAUUCUGCUGAAAGUACUGUACGAAUAAGGAUCGGCUAACUCCGUGCCAGCAGCCGCGGUAAUACGGAGGAUCCAAGCGUUAUCCGGAUUUAUUGGGUUUAAAGGGUGCGUAGGCGGAAUGAUAAGUUAGAGGUGAAAUGUGCGAGCUUAACCCGGGAACUGCCUCUAAUACUGUUGAUCUAGAGAGUAGAUGAGGUAGGCGGAAUGUGUGGUGUAGCGGUGAAAUGCUUAGAGAUCAUACAGAACACCGAUUGCGAAGGCAGCUUACCAAUCUAUAUCUGACGUUGAGGCACGAAAGCGUGGGGAGCAAACAGGAUUAGAUACCCCUGUAGUC